GCGUGCGGCGGCUCUUCCUCCCAGGCGGCGCGCACGUUUUCACUUACGUUCUGCCGCGAUGACGUCAUUCUGGGCAGAGGAGCCAUAGAGCCAGAGCCUUUCUCUAUCACUCUGCAUAGAGCCUUUCUCUAUCACUCUGCAUAGAGUCAUAUAGACUGUACCGACUGUACCAAGAACAGGGGCACGUGAGCGAGCAAGAGACCCCUGGCAAGUACCUGGCACUCCCUUCAGGACCUCAGAAACAACAUGGCGAACUUUAGGACUAACAAAUGUGCUUCACCCAAAUGCAGAAGUGACAGAAGACCACAGUGACGACAAGAUCAUUGACAGCAAAUAAAGACAGGAAUGAAUACGUGCACAUGAAGAAACAAUGGAUUAAGCUAUGAGGCUCAUCGUGUGAAUGAAACACAGACAAAUCCACAGAGUUUAGCAAAGCAACUGAACAAUGACAACCACAGAAAAUGUUUAUCAGGAUGUUAAAAUGUUCAAGUGCUGAUGAGAGAACAUUGUCUAAUAUUUGUUUAUAAAA